rnacentral:rRNA from 1 species
UUUAUGGAGAGUUUGAUCCUGGCUCAGGAUGAACGCUGGCGGCGUGCCUAAUACAUGCAAGUCGAGCGAACGGACGAGAAGCUUGCUUCUCUGAUGUUAGCGGCGGACGGGUGAGUAACACGUGGAUAACCUACCUAUAAGACUGGGAUAACUUCGGGAAACCGGAGCUAAUACCGGAUAAUAUUUUGAACCGCAUGAUUCAAAAGUGAAAGACGGUCUUGCUGUCACUUAUAGAUGGAUCCGCGCUGCAUUAGCUAGUUGGUAAGGUAACGGCUUACCAAGGCAACGAUGCAUAGCCGACCUGAGAGGGUGAUCGGCCACACUGGAACUGAGACACGGUCCAGACUCCUACGGGAGGCAGCAGUAGGGAAUCUUCCGCAAUGGGCGAAAG